rnacentral:rRNA from 1 species
GCGGACGGGUGAGUAACACGUGGGUAACCUGCCUGUAAGACUGGGAUAACUCCGGGAAACCGGGGCUAAUACCGGAUGGUUGUCUGAACCGCAUGGUUCAGACAUAAAAGGUGGCUUCGGCUACCACUUACAGAUGGACCCGCGGCGCAUUAGCUAGUUGGUGAGGUAACGGCUCACCAAGGCGACGAUGCGUAGCCGACCUGAGAGGGUGAUCGGCCACACUGGGACUGAGACACGGCCCAGACUCCUACGGGAGGCAGCAGUAGGGAAUCUUCCGCAAUGGACGAAAGUCUGACGGAGCAACGCCGCGUGAGUGAUGAAGGUUUUCGGAUCGUAAAGCUCUGUUGUUAGGGAAGAACAAGUGCCGUUCAAAUAGGGCGGCACCUUGACGGUACCUAACCAGAAAGCCACGGCUAACUACGUGCCAGCAG